rnacentral:rRNA from 1 species
AGUGAACGCUGGCGGUAGGCCUAACACAUGCAAGUCGAACGGCAGCACAGUAAGAGCUUGCUCUUACGGGUGGCGAGUGGCGGACGGGUGAGGAAUACAUCGGAAUCUACUUUUUCGUGGGGGAUAACGUAGGGAAACUUACGCUAAUACCGCAUACGACCUACGGGUGAAAGCAGGGGAUCUUCGGACCUUGCGCGAUUGAAUGAGCCGAUGUCGGAUUAGCUAGUUGGCGGGGUAAAGGCCCACCAAGGCGACGAUCCGUAGCUGGUCUGAGAGGAUGACCAGCCACACUGGAACUGAGACCCGCUCCAGCCUCCUAGGGGGGGGACCAGUGGGGAAUAUUGGACAAGGGGCGCAGGCUGGACCCAGCCAUCCCGCGGGGGUGAAGAGGGCUUUGGGUUUGUAAAGCCUUUUUGUUGGAAAAAAAAAGCAGCAGGUUAAUCCCCCGCUUUUCUGAGGGUCCCAAAAAAAAAAGCCCCGGCUAACUUCGUC